AAAAUACAGGAAGUAAACUGCGCUAUUUUGCAUGGACUGGCUGCUGCUGUUAUCGGAUAGCCGAUGCUUGUGGAAGAAACCCAACGUGUGGGCCACAAGAGCUCGUUAUCCGUGAGUUAGUUACUCAAGUGGAGCGACUGCAUCUUUGCUUCAGUUUACAUAAAAGUAGCAGCCCUGAAGGUAGGAAAACAAUAAAAAGAAACCCUGCAAAUCGUAUUUGAAGUUGUGUGUGUAACUUGUCCCGGCUUCAUUUAUAUAGAUUACACAUUUACAGAUGGAUUGUUGAUCUGUUCGCAUAAAUAAUUU